rnacentral:rRNA from 1 species
AGAGAUGCACUGGGUAUAAAGGGUGCGCAGGCGGUUUUGUAAGACAGAGGUGAAAUCCCCGGGCUCAACCUGGGAACUGCCUUUGUGACUGCAAGGCUGGAGUGCGGCAGAGGGGGAUGGAAUUCCGCGUGUAGCAGUGAAAUGCGUAGAUAUGCGGAGGAACACCGAUGGCGAAGGCAAUCCCCUGGGCCUGCACUGACGCUCAUGCACGAAAGCGUGGGGAGCAAACA